AUUGAACGCUGGCGGCAGGCCUAACACAUGCAAGUCGAACGGUAACAGGAAGAAGCUUGCUUCUUUGCUGACGAGUGGCGCACGGGUGUGAAAUGUCUGGGAAACUGCCUGAUGGCGGGGGAUAACUCGUGGAAACGGUAGCUAUUACCGCAUAACGUCGCAACACCAAAGAGGGGGACCUUCUGGCCCCUUGCCAUCGGAUGUGCCCAGAUGGGAUUAGCUAGUAGGUGGGGUAACGGCUCACCUAGGCGACGAUCCCUAGCUGGUCUGAGAGGAUGACCAGCCACACUGGAACUGAGACACGGUCCAGACUCCUACGGGAGGCAGCAGUGGGGAAUAUUGCACAAUGGGCGCAAGCCUGAUGCAGCCAUGCCGCGUGUAUGAAGAAGGCCUUCGGGUUGUAAAGCACUUUCAGCGGGGAAGAAGGGAGUAAAGUUAAUACCUUUGCGCAUUGACGUUACCCAAAGAAGAAGCACCGGCUAACUCCGUG
rnacentral:rRNA from 1 species